GCAAACUUGGUCAUUUAGAGGAAGUAAAAGUCGUAACAAGGUCUCCGUUGGUGAACCAGCGGAGGGAUCAUUACUGAGUUAUCAAAACUCCAAACCCUUUGUGAACCUUACCGUCGUUGCCUCGGCGUGAGCUACGGCUACCCUGUAACUACCCUGGAGCUACCCUAGAGUUACCCUAUAGCUACCCUGCACUUACCCUGCAGCUACCCUAUAGCUACCCUAUAGCUACCCUGGAGCUACCCUGGAGCUACCCUGUAGUCGGCUUCGGCCCGCCGAAGGACCGUUAAACUCUUGUUUUUUUACCACUGUUUCUCUGAAUUUUAAACUAAAAUUAGUUAAAACUUUCAACAACGGAUCUCUUGGUUCUGGCAUCGAUGAAGAACGCAGC
rnacentral:misc_RNA from 1 species